AGCAACGAAGAGACAGGCGAUCCAUCGGUAAAGGAUAUGCGGAACCGUCUUGUCCAGCAGGUGCUGGUAACGCCGCGAAACGGCGAAGGUCCACCGUGAAAAGAUAGUGACAGGGGACGAAGAUAGGGAGGAGAGAUCGUCUCCGGUGAGGGCUCCACCGGGCUGUACACUGUCCAUAUGUCGGCCCGGAAAAUGAGUAGCGGUUCUCUUAAAUGUAUUUAUCGGGGAGCGUAAGCAUAGCCAAGGUCCGAUUGGGUCAGAAAUCGGCCGAGUAAAUUAAAAGUUCACGAAUUUGUUCACUCC
rnacentral:misc_RNA from 1 species